AUGUAUUGAAUGUAUUAAAAUGGAGAAUGUUAUCACACGUGAUUUGUCACACGCACAUAUACAUCAACAAAACAUUCAGUCAGUGCAUGGAGUGCCUAUUAUUCUGUCUUGUAUUCAUUUACAACAAAAAAACGAAUCGUCCCAUCGUUCACUUAACGGAGUCGGCUCAGAGCCGACUCGUUCGCAAACGACACAUCACUACUCUGCAGAUGGACAUAUCUCAAGGCGUAGUGACUCCCUGUGCCAGAGACCUCAGCCAGGACUGCACAAGUGGGGUAUGAUCAUGCCCUCUGGUGUCUCCAGCUUCUUGCUGGAUUGUAUGGAUUCAGACUUGGAAGCAGGUGACGCACAACCAUCCAUUGAGACUUUUUGCAAAGCUGAUACUUCUGAUGAGGGAACAGGUCUGGUCAGUGAAGAUGAAAUGCUGCACUGCUGUAUCAGGAACUCAACGCUUCUCAGUUUCAGUGACGCUGUGAAUAUCGGAAUGCAGCAUCCUCCAAACCUCUCCUCCAUUCUGGAGCUGUCACCUGUUACUGAUGGACAAACUGCAAAAGGCUCAUUUUCUCUGCCCUUCCUUCAACCUGUGUCACCUCUUGGCUCCUCUGCUUUGGUUGGGCUAUGUGAUAAUUUGACAUCCCCAAAGAAUACCUCAGGAGGUAAAGGCAAAACCACUGGAGUUGAAGAAAGGACUCCUGUAACCAAGAUAACUGCAGCAUUUUCUCCUGCUGUAAAAAAAAAGAUUACCUUCCCAGACCGGCCGAAGACAGAGGAUGUGUGAGGUAGAAGAAUGGUUUCUUUCUUUUUUCUUUUGUUCAGUGUGCAUUGCUGCUCUCACUUAGAUCUCGCGAACACCAUGAUGAAAUAAAGUCUGUUUUUGCAUGUCUCUAAAGCCCUGUUUUGUGAUCAGCAAACCAGGACCUACCUCAGCGAGCUUGGAGGGUGAAAUCCAUUUAAAUCUACUUCAGUAUUAAGCGUAAUAACAGUUUUCAGACAUUAGAAACCACACUCAGUGUGUCACAUGGUAUGAGUCAUAUGCUACAUUAAAAAUAUAUACUUACUUAUUAUACUAUAUUUACUUGUUUACUUGAGGAGAAAAACAUUUGGUUACAGG
ensembl:lncRNA